rnacentral:lncRNA from 1 species
UAUUAUUUUAAAUAUGCUUGUUGUAAAACAAAUUAAUUUCAUAGCCUUGUCCUUAAAACCAGACCUUAUAUAAUAAAUAUAAAUAGACAUUAAAACAGACCAAUACAUAGACCUUAUAGAACUUUCUAAACUGUUUUAUGAAGCUACCCAGACUUCUAUUAAAAAAUCUGGAUGAUUAGUGAUAUUUUUUGCUUAAUGUGCUCAAAAUCUAUGAAUAUAUAUUUAUUUGUUCUUAAUUUGUUUCUUUCUUCUCUGCUCUCUCAUGUUUGGAACAACAAAAUUCCAUGUAUAGAUGGAUUUCUUUGAUGCUUGUUUUUUUUUUUUUUAGGAAAACUGUAAAGUGUGGACUUGUGGUCUCCCUGUGAACAGACUCCCGACCCCCAGGCAUCCUUGUUACAUCAAAGAGCCAGACCAUGCUGAGACAGGCCCUGACACACACAUGCAACACUUUGCUGUGGUCCAGGUGUUUCCAGGACCGUUUGUGGCAAACGUCUAAGAUUGAGCUUUUUGGGGAAAAUAUGCAGGAAGCCACAUGAUGCUUUUGUUUAAAGGAACUUGCGUGACAUUGAGCAGAGAGAGGAGGAGGAAGAAAAAUCCCCUUUUGGCAAGAUGCUGCUACAUGCUGAAUUUUCCCUGCUGCUAGUAAUAUCUGAAGUUCUUCCUGCCCUCAUAGUAUUGUUUCAGGGAAGAAUUUGUAUAAUUUCCUCUGGACUUCUGGUUGUCAUCAUUAAUAUAUCAUUCUUUUAUGGUGGUUUAUGGUACUGUCAUGCGCUGGGAUUAUGAGUGUGGUACCACACCAACAGCCUGUAAGAACAAUGCUAGGUGAG